AGCGAACGCUGGCGGCAGGCCUAACACAUGCAAGUCGAACGGACCCUUCGGGGUUAGUGGCGGACGGGUGAGUAACACGUGGGAACGUGCCUUUAGGUUUGGAAUAGCUCCUGGAAACGGGUGGUAAUGCCGAAUGUGCCCUUCGGGGGAAAGAUUUAUCGCCUUUAGAGCGGCCCGCGUCUGAUUAGCUAGUUGGUGAGGUAACGGCUCACCAAGGCGACGAUCAGUAGCUGGUCUGAGAGGAUGACCAGCCACACUGGGACUGAGACACGGCCCAGACUCCUACGGGAGGCAGCAGUGGGGAAUCUUGCGCAAUGGGCGAAAGCCUGACGCAGCCAUGCCGCGUGAAUGAUGAAGGUCUUAGGAUUGUAAAAUUCUUUCACCGGGGACGAUAAUGACGGUACCCGGAGAAGAAGCCCCGGCUAACUUCGUG
rnacentral:rRNA from 1 species